GAUUCUUAGCUCAACUUUGCUCUAGGUGGUUUCUAUGAACAUUUUUCACUUCGAAAGCACUUCCCACACUAGGAUAAAGAUCAUGAAAAAUGAAUUAAAAUAUGAAUCAUGGAAUUAGAGUUUACACACGUAGGAACGACAGUUCGAUCUCUGAAUUAUUCUUGAAAGAAGAAAUGAGUCCAUCUCUAUACCAAGUCGAAUAUUUCCUUGGUAUAUCUACAAUUUAAACCAAAUAACAAAGCUCUUACUUUUGCUACAAGUCCACUACCUUUAUCCAGAGGAACAACAAAAGCCCUGAUCAUUUUCCUCCUACAUCCCUCAGGACUCCUUCACAACUAAGAGGUAAAAAUGUACUGGAUCUGUUUAGGAUGCUUUUAACAUUUCAAAUUUGAGGCCACUUGCGGUUGCCAAAUAAUUGAGGUCACCUCAAUUAAGAUUAUAUAAAUAAGCAGGUAAAGAAAGCUAAGAACUCUUAGAUUCAUCAACCAGAUGAAGACCAGAACAUUUUAAGGGCAAGUUAAUAUCACAAUGGUUCUCAUAGUGCAUCUUAUAAGCACUGAAAUACAAAUUAAAGUCAUGUAGACAUGAUAUAAGGUAAAGACUUCCUAAAUUUCUUGAGUUCAGUUUUGACAUUUAUGGACAAGAUGACAAGUUGACAACUUCUUUAUUUCUGGAGAAGUGUUAGACGAAUUUGUGAAAAAAAUAUUAGUCUAUUCAGUUGAAUGCCUAAACACUUCAAUUAGGUUCUUUCACGUGAUUGCCACUGGCAUACAAAUGAUGGGAACUAGUAUGAUGAUUGGAGGGGAUGCGAGCCCUUCUCGCUAUGUGUGGCUGAUGCGAGCUAACCUUACAGAAGUGGACGCAUCAUUGGGUUAUGUGAGAUACGAGCCGAUGUGAGCGCAUCAUGCUGAUUUUAUUUUUAGGGUCAAUUUUAAUUUUUCUUAGAAAAGAGUCAUUUCAUGUUGAUUUUAUAUUUAGGGUUAAUUUUUUUUUUUUUUUAAAAAAGAGUAAUGUAGUGACACUACCACUUGGGGUGUUGUCGCCAAGGCAAGUGGAGUUGAGGAAAUGGAAAACCGUUAUGGUUUAAGGAGGAAUACUUCAAGCUUAGAUAACUAGGGAAAAGAAGUUGCUACUGUUCGACAAUAGUAUAAUUGUGUAGACAGAAUAUUCUCUUUCCUAGAGUAGGAUUUCAUUACUGAUUGUGUAGUUAUAACAAUAUAUAUUCUUUCCUAGAAUAGAACUCUAACCUACAGUUGUAUAGCUAUAAGUAUUUCAUUAUGUAUUAUGGAACAAGACAAGUUGCUAUUCAGAAAAUCUUGGUUUCUCUUGUUUCUCUGUCAUGGUAUCAAGAGCCACAAUCUAAUUUUUUUUCCUUUUUCCUUGCUUUCUGUAUUCUUUGCACAGGUACUUUUCUACCUUCAUAAGUUCCUUUUGUUCUCUCUGUUUUUUUCCCUUCUUUUGUAAUCAAUCGAUCAAUGGAUUCACAAUCCUCUUCGCACGAUUUGCUCUCCACAAAAUUGGAUGGUUCCAAUUUUUCUCUUUGGAAAUUCCACUUUGGAAUCUUUGUUCAAGGCAAGGGCCUUUUUGGGUUGUUAGAUGGAUCUGCUCGUACUCCAACAGAUGCAAAAGAGUUGGAUCUUUGGAAAUUGAAUAAUGCGAAGGUAAUCGUUUGGAUGUUGAAUUUAGUACAUGCUGAUAUUGCUAUGGGGCUUAGACCUUUCAAUUUGGCUUCUGAGAUGUGGACCCACCUUCUUACAAUCUACCAAUAAAGCAGCCUUGCACGAGAAUUUGAAAUGGAAUGCAACAUUACAGAAUACACAAAGGGGGACAAGAAUGUUCGCUCCUUUUAUGCUGGCUUGCAGUUGCUCUAGUUGGAACAAGAUCAAAUUCUUGGGCAAAAUAUUUUUAAGGCAGGGCUCAAGGAGGUGUUGGAAGAACGAAAGAAGACAAGGGUGGUGCAAUUCUUAAUGAAACUCCGUCCUGAAUUCGAGCCGAUUCGUGGCAGUUUGUUGAACAGGGAAGUCACACCUGCUCUUAACGUUGUGUUGGCAGCCGUCUUGCGUGAAGAGACAAGACUUGGAACUCAGGUUGCUAUGGAGUCUACACCAUUACCUUCUGUUGCAUUACUUGCAGGAAAAUCAACAACUGUUGCUUCAACAGGAAAUACUAAAAGAAGUGUCCAAUGCUAUGAAUGGCAAGACUUUGGUCACAUCGCAGCCAAUUGUCCUAAGAAGAAAAACAUUUGUGCUUAUUGCAAAAUUACUGGCCAUCAUAUUUCAGAUUGUCGUCGUCGCCCAAAUCGUUCACGAACUGCUCACCAGGCUUACCAGACAAAUGUCACUACAUCAUCUGGUUCCUUCAUUGCUGGUCAUGAUUUUGAAAAACUAAUUCGAGAUUCUAUUGCAGCUGCCCUUCCCGAAGCCAUCUCAAGUGCACUCUCGGCAUCCUCUUCAGAAUCUAAAAACAGGGAUGACUAUGGCCACAAGACGUAGAUUUGGCAGAAUAUUCCUACUAGAGUCGGUUCACCGUCACUUGCAUCAUUGUUUUCUUUCAGUUUCUGCAGCGGAUGUUACUUGUUCGAAUAAAUUGCUCACUCUUUGGCAUAAUAGGAUAGGUUAUCCUCAUUCUUCUCGGCUUCAUCACAUGCUUAAAUCAUGUCUUCCUGCAGCACAUCACAUCCAUUCUAGUCUCUUUUUGGCAUGUACAAGUUGCGUCGGUUCAAAAAGUCACAAGCUCCCUUUUCCAUCCAGUUCAUUUGCUUAUGAAGAUCCGUUUGAUUUAGUGUAUAGUGAUGUUUGGGGUCCUUCUCUUAUUUUUUUCAAGGAUGGGAUAUAAGUACUUUGUGUUAUUUAUUGAUCAUGUAUCCAGAUACACCUUGGUGUUUUUUAUUAGAAAUAAAUCUGUGGUUUCGACUCUUAUUAUGAAUUUUGUUGAGUAUGUUCGUGCAUAAUUUCAUAAAACUAUAAAAGUAUUUCGUUCUGAUUCAGGAGGAGACUACACUAACACUAAUCUUGUUGAUUUUUUCAAAAACAAAGGAAUUAUUGCCCAACACACUUGUUCUCAUACUCCGGAACAAAAUGGAGUCGUACAAAGGAAGAAUCGACAUGUUUUAGAAACUACAUUGGCUUUAUUGAGUACGUCGAGUAUGCCAAAAAGUUUUUGGCCCGAAGCAGUACAUACUUCUGUAUAUUUGAUCAAUAGACAAACUUCCCCAGUCAUUGGAAAUGAGACACCGUAUUUCAAAUUAUUUCAUAGUAAGCCUAAUUAUUCUCACUUGCGGGUUUUUGGUUGUGUUUGCUUUGUGCAUCUUCCAGCACAUGAACGACAUAAGCUUUCGGCAAAGGCAGCACAAUGUAUUUUUGUGUGAUACAGUGACACACAAAAGGGGUAUCUCUGUUAUGAUGCAUCUCGUCAUCAGCUUCGAAUAUCUAGACAUGCUAUUUUCUUUGAGGAUUAGUUUUCUUGCAAACACAAUGCUAAACAUGCUUCAGAAUCUCUCUUUUCUGUACAAGUUUGAUGACGAUGUGGUAGCUACUGACUUUCAGCUUGAGUCUUCGAAACAACCCAUGGACUAUGAUAAUGGUGAUCUCCAGCCUUCAUCUGAUCCUCCGCUUGAAUAUCCAGAACAACCCAUGAACAAUGGUAAUGAAGCUCUCCAACCUUCAUCUCUUUCUGGUAUUGACUCUACAUCAUCAUUCUUAUCUUCGGAAGAGGGAUCCUCUCAUCCAGUUACUCCUCCACGUCGGUCUAGUAGAACAAAUCGCCAUGCUCCUGAACGACUUGGAUACUCUCCAGGGAAAUUUGGUGCUCAGAGCCUUUGGUUGGAUGCUUCCGGCUAUUAUUAUGUCAGCGGUAAUUGGAACAGGUACAGAUACUAUUAUCAUGGCAUUAGUGCUUCCUUUAGCACAGUCUGCUCUUUCUUUAGCGAUGGAUACCAUAUGGGGAUGGUCCGAUGAAGUCCCACGAUCCAAGUCCAAGAAAAAGAAAAGACCCUAUGCUAGAGCAGCGAGCAACCCUGGAAUAAGAAUGGGAAAAGGCCAAAAUACUCGAAAUGGCAAGGGAGUUACAGACUAUCAGUCCUGGGCUGCCUCAAAUUGUGCAUCAGAUAGAAACAAUUCAGGAAGCACUCUGAAUUGUGGGGGUUGGGAUGAGCUAGACAAUCAUGGGAUGGAAGGACAGCACAUAAUGCCCCUUAACCAACGACGGGCUGAACCAAGACAGUGGACUGACGGAAAAUUGAGUAAGAGAAUCGGAAGGAGAGAAACUCUAUUGCUAUUGAGACUGCUAAUUGCUGUUUUCCCGUUCUUUGGAUCCUGGACCAAGCUAUUGUAAAUUUGUAAUGAACUUCGGGAGUUGAAGCCUUUUGUACAGCCAAACCUAACCAUUUGGCAGCAAACAAUCUUUUGUUUGGUCCUUGUUUUUCUCAAAGCUAGACUUGGAACCCAAAACAUAUAGUUGUACAGAUUAAACAUAGUUAAGACGAGCUUGUGUCUCUUCUGCUUGAGCACGCGUCCUAAAAUAAUGCCAGACGAAAAAGCAUCGUGAUAGACCUUGAGUACUUUUUUUUUCGUUUUGGAAGAGUUUGUCUUUUAUCUCUUGUAACACUUGGGAAAUGACGUGUAUGGAGAUAUCAAUAUAGUGUUAAGCAGUACAUGAACUGAAUUGUUUGUUUCG